rnacentral:rRNA from 1 species
GCUGGCGGCGUGCUUACACAUGCAAGUCGAACGGUGAAGCCAAGCUUGCUUGGUGGAUCAGUGGCGAACGGGUGAGUAACACGUGAGCAACCUGCCCUGGACUCUGGGAUAAGCGCUGGAAACGGCGUCUAAUACUGGAUAUGAGCUUCUACCGCAUGGUGGGGGUUGGAAAGAUUUUUCGGUCUGGGAUGGGCUCGCGGCCUAUCAGCUUGUUGGUGAGGUAAUGGCUCACCAAGGCGUCGACGGGUAGCCGGCCUGAGAGGGUGACCGGCCACACUGGGACUGAGACACGGCCCAGACUCCUACGGGAGGCAGCAGUGGGGAAUAUUGCACAAUGGGCGGAAGCCUGAUGCAGCAACGCCGCGUGAGGGAUGACGGCCUUCGGGUUGUAAACCUCUUUUAGCAGGGAAGAAGCGAAAGUGACGGUACCUGCAGAAAAAGCGCCGGCUAACUACGUGCCAGCAGCCGCGGUAAUACGUAGGGCGCAAGCGUUAUCCGGAAUUAUUGGGCGUAAAGAGCUCGUAGGCGGUUUGUCGCGUCUGCUGUGAAAUCCCGAGGCUCAACCUCGGGCCUGCAGUGGGUACGGGCAGACUAGAGUGCGGUAGGGGAGAUUGGAAUUCCUGGUGUAGCGGUGGAAUGCGCAGAUAUCAGGAGGAACACCGAUGGCGAAGGCAGAUCUCUGGGCCGUAACUGACGCUGAGGAGCGAAAGGGUGGGGAGCAAACAGGCUUAGAUACCCUGGUAGUCCACCCCGUAAACGUUGGGAACUAGUUGUGGGGACCAUUCCACGGUUUCCGUGACGCAGCUAACGCAUUAAGUUCCCCGCCUGGGGAGUACGGCCGCAAGGCUAAAACUCAAAGGAAUUGACGGGGACCCGCACAAGCGGCGGAGCAUGCGGAUUAAUUCGAUGCAACGCGAAGAACCUUACCAAGGCUUGACAUACACCAGACGGGCCAGAAUGGUCAACUCUUUGGACACUGGUGAACAGGU